ACUACAUUUUAAUUACAGAACAGUCUACUGUCCAAAAGGCACUAAUCCAGAAUAGGAGAUACAAUGAUACAGGACUCAUUGGAACUAUUUUAAUCAAUACAAUAGAGCACUUGUUUCUCUGUCCAUUCACAUACAGAAACAAGGACUUUUGCUACAGUCAUUACACAUUGUUAUAAAUAUGAGCCCUACGUGGAAGGUGCAGUAUCACUCUCCCAGGCCACGGGUCAGCUCUGACAAAGACAGAGAUUAAAUUAAAAAAAGGAAAAAAAGGGGACAAAGGGAGAGGUUGAUGGUAUGUUUUAACAGCACCUGCUGCCAGGGGAAGGUGUGAUGGGCAUUGGGAUGGAGGCUGGACCUGUUUCCUCAAGGACUGUGGUGGGAGUGAAGAUGAACUUCCAUCAUCUGCCCCAGGCUUUCCCACCUCCUGUUCUGUCCAGUUUCCUUUGGCCCUGUUUGCCUGGAUAGUUCUCUGUGAUGGAUAAAUAAUUCCCAAGCACACUCAGGGUUCUGAGUUCCUGCACCAUUCCUUUUCUCCUCCAGGGAGCCAUCAGCACCUUGCAGAUCAAGGCAGUGGUUGGAGAAGAGUUUGGGAUGUUCUGCUCGACACUCAGUGCCUUCACUGCCAGGCACAAACAGCUGGACCCUGCCAAGGCUGCCCCAGCUUCCCCAAAGCAAAGAGCCCCAGAGGCAGCAGGGUGCUGGGGUGAUGCUUGAGGGGCACGGGGAGCCAGAACCCAUCAGCUCCUCCUGACAGCCAAACCCCCAA